AUGGUCUACAGGUGCCAGAGGACACUGAAGACCAUCCCUACAGCAAAGACUUGGUGAGUCUCAGCAUUUCUUUCACACAUCAUCAACCACACAGAUCUUUACUCUCUCAGUCAGGCUUAUGUGUGUGUCCAUUUAGAGCAGUGAUGUUACUGUGGCCAGACAAGAGGACACGUCUUCAAAGUGUCUUGUGCUACGAAAGGCCCAACAAGCCAAACAGCAACGAUGUGAGUCCAGUUGUCUGUUAAUUCAUGUCAUUACUCAGGAUGAAGGCAUGCUGCAAUACCUUAAGAAAAUCAUCAGAGGCAACAUUGUGUCUCCCUGGGCCAAGAAGGAGGACAGGGUCUUCAUUCUUUUUGAAGAUGAUGACCAAGUGGACCAGGUGAUGCACUUCUUGUCUGGAGUGGUUGAAAGUCCACAGACAGAU